CUACGGCAUCCAACAAACGAUUUAACCAGCGAGCAGACUUCCAUUAAGAUUCCACAUGAAAAAAUGCCUUUCCCGGUGAUAAAUUAAUUACUGUUUUGGACAAAUACGUACAGCUCAACCCAAGGGUUUAGCCUUCGUCUAAGCUGCGAGCCGCAUUGUAAGCUUGUCGAUGAACAGAGAAACUUUUCAGCACCAGACGGCAACGGUGACACCUGCAGGGUGAUGGCAUCAAGGGACGAACUUAGGCAGAAUCCGUAUCCCACUGGGCUUCAGAGGACAUCCUAUGGUGGUCCAGAUGAGAAGUGAAGAUUAUCAGCAGUGCCGCUCGGUGUGGAAUACCUAAUAGACCCGGUGAAGGAGGGAACGAUUAGCCGGGAAUAUAGAUUCUUCUUACUGACAAUUGCACAGAUGAAUCUCAGAUUCAAGGUUCUGUGGUAAUGUUCAAUUUAUUGAAGAGUUCUUCUAUUUUCAUAAAAUCCAAUGCAACGGAAUGAAAAUGAAGGCGGCUGCAAGGAAGAAACUUUUGUACUUUCAGAUCAGGUGAAAGAGACGACUCGCAUUGUUAGAUGGACCACAAGGCCAAGAAAUGUCAUUCAGGAGCGGACAGGAACACUGGAGACCCUGGAGGGUAGAAUGUGGAAUUACCUGAUACAUGUUGUAUUGUGACAGAUACAUUUAUGACAUAUAGACUGCCCCCUUGUACUUAUUAGAACAUCUGCUUUUCUAAGUUCUAUGUCAAAGUCAUUUAAAAUAUCUAUGAAUGAUAAAACUUCUCAUUGUAAAAGAACCCUGUUAGUACCAGUCAU